AACGAACGCUGGCGGCAUGCUUAACACAUGCAAGUCGAACGCAUGGUUUCGGCCAUGAGUGGCGCACGGGUGAGUAGCGCGUGGGAACCUGCCCAGUCGUGGGGGAUAACCGAGGGAAACUUCGGCUAAUACCGCAUAAGCCGGGGGUAACUCCGGGAAAGGUUUAUCGCGAUUGGAGGGGCCCGCGUCGGAUUAGCUAGUUGGUGGGGUAACGGCCGACCAAGGCGAUGAUCCGUAGGUGGUCUGCGAGGAUGAUCAGCCCCACUGGGAAUGAGACACGGCGCAGAGUCGUCCGGGGAGCAGCAGUGGGGAAUAUUGGACAAGAGGGGCAACCCUGAUCCAGCAAUGCCGCGUGAGUGAGGAAGGCCUUAGGGUUGAAAAGCUCUUUCGCACGCGACGAUGAUGACGGUAGCGUGAGAAGAAGCCCCGGCUAACUUCGUGCCAGCCGCCGCCGUAAAAC
rnacentral:rRNA from 1 species